rnacentral:rRNA from 1 species
AUUGAACGCUGGCGGCGUGCCUAACACAUGCAAGUCGAGCGAAGUUUAUUUAGCAGCGACUUCGGUCAAAGCUGAUUAAACUUAGCGGCGAACGGGUGAGUAACACGUAGGCAACCUGCCCAUGACACGGGGAUAGCUUCGGGAAACCGGAGGUAAUACCCGAUACCUUUACUUAUUGCAUGAUAAGUAAAGAAAGCGAAUAGCGGUCAUGGAUGGGCCUGCGUCCCAUUAGCUAGUUGGUGAGAUAACAGCCCACCAAGGCGACGAUGGGUAGCCGACCUGAGAGGGUGAUCGGCCACAUUGGAACUGAGACACGGUCCAAACUCCUACGGGAGGCAGCAGUGGGGAAUAUUGGACAAUGGGCGCAAGCCUGAUCCAGCCAUGCCGCGUGAGUGAAGAAGGCCCUCGGGUUGUAAAGCUCUUUUGUCCGGAAAGAAAAGCGCCGGGUUAAUACCCUGGUGUCCUGACGGUACCGGAAGAAUAAGCACCGGCUAACUUCGUGCCAGCAGCCGAC